rnacentral:tRNA from 1 species
CGUUGGGGGACGUCGCGGCAAGUACUAGGCUCAUAACCCAAAGGUCGUCGGUUCAAAUCCGACCCCCGCAACCA